rnacentral:rRNA from 1 species
AGUGAACGCUGGCGGUAGGCCUAACACAUGCCAGUCGAACGGCAGCACAGUAAGAGCUUGCUCUUACGGGUGGCGAGUGGCGGACGGGUGAGGAAUACAUCGGAAUCUACUUUUUCGUGGGGGAUAACGUAGGGAAACUUACGCUAAUACCGCAUACGACCUACGGGUGAAAGCAGGGGAUCUUCGGACCUUGCGCGAUUGAAUGAGCCGAUGUCGGAUUAGCUAGUUGGCGGGGUAAAGGCCCACCAAGGCGACGAUCCGUAGCUGGUCUGAGAGGAUGAUCAGCCACACUGGAACUGAGACACGGUCCAGACGCCUACGGGAGGCAGCAGUGGGGAAUAUUGGACAAUGGGCGCAAGCCUGAUCCAGCCAUACCGCGUGGGUGAAGAAGGCCUUCGGGUUGUAAAGCCCUUUUGUUGGGAAAGAAAAGCAGCAGGUUAAUACCCAGCUGUUCUGACGGUACCCAAAGAAUAAGCACCGGCUAACUUCGUG